GCAGGCGUAGUCGCUUGAAAGGGACGGCGAACGUCCUUCGGGAAGGACCUGUAGAGGUGCUGCAUGGCUGUCGUCAGCUCGUGUCGUGAGAUGUUGGGUUAAGUCCCGCAACGAGCGCAACCCUUGCCAUUAGUUGUCAGCGAGUCAUGUCGGAUACUCUAAUGGGGACUGCCGGUGACGAGCCGGAGGAAGGUGGGGAUGACGUCAAGUCAGCAUGGCCUUUAUGUCCAGGGCCACACACGUGCUACAAUGGACGGUACAGAGGGACGCAAGACCGCAAGGUGGAGCAAAUCCUCAAAACCGUUCUCAGUUCGGAUUGCAGGCUGCAAUUCGCCUGCAUGAAGCUGGAAUUGCUAGUAAUCGCAGAUCAGCUACGCUGCGGUGAAUACGUUCUCGGGCCUU
rnacentral:rRNA from 1 species